UCUUUCGUUUACAUUAGGUACUGUUCUGCUUGUGAAAGAGUGGGAGAGAGUGAGAGUGGUUAAUUAUUAGUCCCUCAUAUUUCGUGUUUAUCCACCAAGAUGGUAAUUAUAUUCUUAUAGAAAAUCUCCUGGAACCAUAAGCGUGAUCCCUCCUGCUUUAAGAUUUGCUGAGAUCCUGAGUCGCUUUCUUGUCCGACUCCCAUGGGGACAGUUAAUGACGCGUCAUCAUCUACUCUCUUUCUCCCCUUUCCAAUUUUUUGCUACCUUUUUCUUCUUUACUCAUCUCCCACCGAUCUCUUUAAUUAUGUGGAUUAGGGUUUCCAACGAGGGGCUCUAAUUACUUUGAGUUUAGGGUUAUAUAUAUGCAGGAAACCCAUGUCUUAUAGGGUAUGAACACUCACAGUUGAGUACUCGAUGGUCUCUUUCAAAUAUUAGAUCAUUUUGAUUCGACACAGUACCUAUGCUUUGGAUCGUUUUUAUAUAUUUUCUUCUGUGUUCUGCCGUGAUGAUCGAUCAAAGAAAUUCUGUUUCUGGGGUGAUAAGGCCAUUGAUUUGGGAGAAUUGUAAUUAUAGAUCUUAAGCUCAUUUUUGGCAUUUUUAGAAGAAGUAGUACGAAUCUGAAUCUGAGCUCUUGGAGAGUGCUAUGCCAGUGGUGCACUGCAGUAGUGAGUGUUACUACAGUUGCAUGGUGGGAAUUCCUAUCCUAUUGAGCUUAAACUAUUGGCUCAUUCAUUGUUGCAUUGGUUUUAUGAAUCAAUGUCAGGGAAGGAACUCAAGUGGUGCAGUUGCAUGGUACUGCUUUUCGGAUUCCCCUGCACCCAAUCUUCAUCACAAGCCACAACUCAGCAACUUUUCUGGGUUCUCCCCCAUUUUGUUUCCACUAUUUAUCUUGUUUAAGAAAAUCAAUGGCAUGCAUCUGAAGCUCCACUUCGUUUUUCGCUUGUCAUUCUGACCAUGUUAUCCUGCAGCUAUGUAACUCCAUUAUCUGCAUGUAAAUUAAAUAGUGCAGUCUUUUUUAAUUAUACCAUUUAGAGAAGUAUGGUACAGAUCAUGCAUAUAACAUUAUAUAUUGAAGUACUUCAUCUCUGAAAAAGCUUGAAGAAACCAAAUUGUCUUUAUAUAUGUUGCUUUUAAUGGUAAAAAAGUAUACGCUUUAAUCCUUUUAAGGCCUUGGAAGUUGGAACUGGUCAUUGUUUCACUCCAUGUGUUCAUUGAAAUAUGCACAGUACUUUCUAUUAGAGUCGUAUUAUACGCAUUUUUCCUUUGGAGCUGUGUCACCCACUCUUCUGUGGUACAACUAUGGAAAUGCCAGCAGUUAAUACACGAGCAAAGCUUACUUUUUCAUUUAUAACCCCUGUUUUUUUAAGUGUUUGUGGCUUUGGGCGGUGGCUGAUCCAGUAGUAUGAAGUAUGAACAAUGAUAAUGUAUUCCAGAUAUGGUAAGAUUGGAACUCGUGGGCGAAACUUCCCCUUUUGGUAAUCAGCACUUGUUUAACUUGGAACAGUGUGUUUAUAAACUUCCUGUCAGAUUAAUUGACCUGGUAGUAGGUCUGGUAGGCAUCCCAUGUGGUCCCCAUAUUCUUCUUCUUCUCAGGAGUUUGAAACCCUAAUGCUGGUGGAAUUUGAUAAACUUCUUUGUUUAAUAAGGGCAUUAUGUAUCGACUACGGAGAUGUAUUUGCUUUCCAUCUUGUUAGAGAAAAUCUGUGUAGACAUGGGGUAUUACUUAUUAAAAGAAACACAAGUACACACUUCUUAAUCUACAAUUCUACAUUGUCUCU